UUAUGGAUACUGGAUUUAUCACCAGAUUCAUCAAGGUCACAUGUUGCCUAAACGGCCUUUUGUGCCUUUUUGCCUUUGUUAAUUGACACAUAGAUGAUGAAUGUUCUCCAUCAAACUGAUUACAACCUGUAUCAAUAACUUUUGCAAAAGUUAUGAGCCCUUGUGAUUUUAGAGAUUUUGGUAUUUCUUUGAAUGUGCAUUAACUGCUAUACUACAGUUUUGCAAAGCCAUUACUUGGUGAAAAAUCAUUUCCACUCACACUGUGAACCAUGGCCAAGUUAAGAAGAAAAUGGAUGGUAUUUUUGAGUGAGAAACCUUUAUAUUCUGCCUCUCCAUGGCAAGCACAGUGUGUUGCUAAACACGAACUAUGUAUUUUUUAUUCUUUCUUAAAAUUUUUUUAUUGUUCUUCCUUGUAAGUUCAAUAGGGUAUUUGAGUUUUCUUUCUUCUCUCAUUUUUUUGCACUUGAACCACAUUACCAAUAUUAAUGGGUUUUUGAUUUUGCACUAACAUAAUAUAAGUUUAUAAUAUCCAUUAUCCCUAAUAGUAAUACAUACCCAAAAGCUUUAGACUAUGGAAACCUGCCAUUGAUUGUUAAAUAUUAUUAGACUUUGGUUAAUGAUUAUGUCUGAUUCCAGGAGAAGAGACCACAAAAGAGCCUUUAUAGAAUGCCAAGAAGCACAAGGUCAAAGGAGACCAACCAAUCCUAUUGGUAUUAAUGAGAAUCUGUGCCAAGACCGAGAACUUGUUUGGUUGCAGUUGUUUGACAUACAUCAGAAGCAGGUCUUCCCCAUGCCACAUUCUGACAAGCACCUAAAUUUGGCUAUCAUCUUGGCUCCCAUAUCCCUGAGAACAAAGGAAAACAGCCAACUCAGGAAUAUCUUUUUGGUGAUCAGUUGCAAAGCAUAAAAUGCCCAAAUAUGCAAGUUAAAAAAGCUCUUGGAGAUGAAGGAAGGCCAUGACUGAAGGUUUGCGAGGGUGAAGACAUUCUGGAAAUUAAGGCAAAUCUCAUGGCUAAAUGGACAUUGAAAAGCAAGAACAUGGAGGACAGAUGAAAUGCAAUAAAGAAUGUCUGAUUCAAUGAGAAAUAAAUUGAAAAAAUAAAAUCUACUAACACAAACCACUUGAUGUGAGGCUUAUUCAAAAUCAGGCAUUCCCAUAGUACAGAACAGCAGCCAAAUAACCACGUUGGGGCCCAAAUGAACGUUCCCAGAAAAGGUCAUGUGCAUUUUUGUGGAUAAAGAGGGCAGUUUCUGGAGCUGUAACCUCUUUUUACUAAAAACUUGACAGGGAGCACCAUUUUCACCGUACGCUAAAUGCAAUCAUCCAGCCAAGUUCUAAAAUGAGAAAUGUUCUUCUUGGCAAGGCAAAUGUUGCUGGGCGCUUAUUGCUUUUUUAGAUUGAGGUUUU